GCAAAACAUUGUGAGGCAGAAGCCACACAGCGCUUUCCCUGGAAAGAGAGAUGUGUUUCCCUCUGAUCUUUUGUGGGUGGAUGCUGUUUUCUUUAAUUUUUGCUUUUGGCGAUGUGGCAGUGAAUCACACUACAACUUUAUUUGUCAAUCAUGGACAGUCUGCCAAAAUCAGAUGCAACUACAACCCAACAAAUGACACAGAAAGCAUGACGGCAGUUCUGCAAACAUUAAAUCUUUCACUGUGUUCAUAUUACUUUUAUGACAAUACAUGGAAAACCCACCAUUGUAAAGAUCCUGUCAGAUUCACUGGGAUUCCAGAGACUAAUGACAUAACAUUUGAACUCUUAAAUCUCCAAGUUCAGGAUACCGGCACAUACACCUGUACUGUGAAGAGGAUUGUAAAACCACCUCAAGUGGAUCUCGGAGUUCAAAGAGUUCAAGUUAUUGUGCGUCCCGUCUUGUUGCUGUCCUGUGUGAAGAGGCCUGAUGGAUCUACCAUGAUUCUGUGCUCUGUGGAAUUUUACCCUGAUUCUCUUGAACAGUUGUGGAUCAGAGAUGGAGAUGUCCUCAACAGCUCAUACUCAAACAAAUCAUUUAAUGGAUCCUUUAGUCAGCAAUCAUACCUUCUAUUGCCACCACAAACCUUCAGUGAUACAAUCUACUCCUGCUGGGUAAACCACCCGUCUUUAAACAAACCACUCGUGGCCAAUUUAUCGAGCUCUGUCUGUUAUGAAAGUGAGGGAAGAACACGUCAGCAGUCUGUGUCUCCUGUAGGAGUGAUUGUCACACCUGAGCCUGUCCUGCAUGAUCCCCUGCAGUCUGAGAUACUGUACUCAACACUGGGUGACCAUCAUCCAGUCCCUUGCAGCCUUCCUGUUGUCCGCUCAUUUGCAUAAUAAACACUGAAUGAGCAAAUCUUAC
ensembl:lncRNA